CAGUCGCCACGGGAAUACGUAGGUGGCAAGCGUUGUCCGGAAUUAUUGGGCGUAAAGGGCUCGCAGGCGGUUUCAUAAGUCUGAUGUGAAAGCCCCGGGCUCAACCGGGGAGGGUCAUUGGAAACUGGGAAACUUGAGUGCAGAAGAGGAGAGUGGAAUUCCACGUGUAGCGGUGAAAUGCGUAGAGAUGUGGAGGAACACCAGUGGCGAAGGCGACUCUCUGGUAUGUAACUGACGCUGAGGAGCGAAAGCGUGGGGAGCGAACAGGAUUAGAGACCCGUGUAGUCCCUGUCUCUUAUAA
rnacentral:rRNA from 1 species